rnacentral:lncRNA from 1 species
UACUGCAGUCUUACUGUAAGCAACUGUGAUAUCACAGGUAAAAAAAUCAGUCAUACAACUAUAGCAAUGAGAUGAUCACUAUCGUUUGGAUAGAAAUCCAUAUGAUCUCUGGUAUGAUCAUGCUCAGUAUUAGUUGUUCUCCAACAACCAUCCGCACUUGCCGCUCAGUAUCUCUACACCAUAGACUAGAGACCCAUCUAUCCCUAAGGAAGUGAAUCGUAUGUCGGUCUAUUUAGAUCGAUCACCAUCUCCAUGACUAUCCAA